GAUGAACGCUGGCGGCGUGCUUAACACAUGCGAGUCGAGCGAGAAGUUUUGAAAAGAUUCUUCGGAUGAAAUUUAAAAUGGAAAGCGGCGGACGGGUGAGUAACGCGUAGGCAACCUGCCCCAUACAAAGGGAUAGCAUUUGGAAACGAAUAUUAAUACCUUAUGGAACUUAACUAGUGCAUGCUAGGUAGGUCAAAGAUUUAUCGGUAUGGGAUGGGCCUGCGUCUGAUUAGCUAGUUGGUGAGGUAACGGCUCACCAAGGCGACGAUCAGUAGCCGACCUGAGAGGGUGAACGGCCACAUUGGAACUGAGACACGGUCCAAACUCCUACGGGAGGCAGCAGUGGGGAAUAUUGCACAAUGGGGGAAACCCUGAUGCAGCAACGCCGCGUGAACGAUGAAGGCCUUUGGGUCGUAAAGUUCUGUUCUAGGUGAUGAAAACUGACAGUAACCUAGGAGAAAGCCCCGGCUAACUCCGUG
rnacentral:rRNA from 1 species